rnacentral:rRNA from 1 species
AGGGCACCACCAGGAGUGGAGCCUGCGGCUUAAUUUGACUCAACACGGGAAAACUCACCCGGCCCGGACACUGGAAGGAUUGACAGAUUGAGAGCUCUUUCUUGAUUCAGUGGGUGGUGGUGCAUGGCCGUUCUUAGUUGGUGGAGCGAUUUGUCUGGUUAAUUCCGAUAACGAACGAGACUCUAGCCUAUUAAAUAGGCUCUCGGCUUUUAAGCGCCGGGAGGACUUCUUAGAGGGACAGGUGGCGGUUCAGCCGCACGAAAGAGAGCAAUAACAGGUCUGUGAUGCCCUUUGUUGUCCGGGGCCGCACGCGCGCUACACUGAAGAGAUCAGCGUGCUUUACGUUCCUGCUCCGACCGGAGUGGGGAACCCAGUGAACCUUCUUCGUGAUUGGGAUAGAAGAUUGUAAUUAUUCUACUUGAACGAGGAAUUCCCAGUAAAUGCGAGUCAUAAGCUCGCGUUGAUUACGUCCCUGCCCUUUGUACACACCGCCCGUCGCUACUACCGAUUGAACGAUUU